rnacentral:rRNA from 1 species
UGCGCAGGCGGACUAUUAAGUCAGUGGUGAAAUCCCGGGGCUCAACCUCGGAACUGCCAUUGAUACUGAUAGUCUUGAGUUUGGUUGAAGUGGGCGGAAUGUAGCAUGUAGCGGUGAAAUGCAUAGAUAUGCUACAGAACACCGAUCGCGAAGGCAGCUCACUAAGCCAAAACUGACGCUCAUGCACGAAAGCGUGGGGAGCAAACAGGAUUAGAUACCCUGGUAGUCC